rnacentral:sRNA from 1 species
CCCACGGCUUACGCCGUGGGCUGCAUUCUUUCGCCCCUUCGGGGCU